rnacentral:rRNA from 1 species
CGCGCAGGCGGAACUUUAAGUCAGUGGUGAAAUCUUGCCGCUUAACGGUAAAAUUGCCAUUGAUACUGAAGUUCUUGAAUAUGGUUGAGGUAGGCGGAAUGUGUUGUGUAGCGGUGAAAUGCAUAGAUAUGACACAGAACUCCGAUUGCGAAGGCAGCUUACUAAACCAUUAUUGACGCUGAGGCACGAAAGCGUGGGGAGCGAACAGGAUUAGAUACCCUGGUAGUCC